rnacentral:rRNA from 1 species
UAAGUUUGACCUCAAAUCANGUAGGGUUACCCGCUGAACUUAAGCAUAUCAU